CACGUAGGGCGCAAGCGUUGUCCGGAAUUAUUGGGCGUAAAGAGCUCGUAGGCGGUCCGUCACGUCCGCUGUGAAAACCCAGGGCUCAACCCUGGGCUUGCAGUGGAUACGGGCAGACUAGAGGUAGGUAGGGGAGAAUGGAAUUCCCGGUGUAGCGGUGAAAUGCGCAGAUAUCGGGAGGAACACCGGUGGCGAAGGCGGUUCUCUGGGACGGUACUGACGCUGAGACGCGAAAGCGUGGGGAGCGAACAGG
rnacentral:rRNA from 1 species